GACGAACGCUGGCGGCGUGCUUAACACAUGCAAGUCGAACGGGUCUGCCCUGUUUUUUGCGGGGUGGGUCAGUGGCGAACGGGUGAGUAACACGUGAGUAACCUGCCCCUCACUUCUGGAUAACCGCUUGAAAGGGUGGCUAAUACGGGGUGUUCUGGCUGUGCCGCAUGGUGUGGCUGAGAAAGAUUCACUUUUGUGGUGUUUUGGUGGGGGAUGGGCUCGCGGCCUAUCAGCUUGUUGGUGGGGUGAUGGCCUGCCAAGGCUUUGACGGGUAGCCGGCCUGAGAGGGUGGGCGGUCACACUGGGACUGAGAUACGGCCCAGACUCCUGCGGGAGGCAGCAGUGGGGGGUAUUGCACAAUGGGCGGAAGCCUGAUGCAGCGACGUCGCGUGAGGGAUGGAGGCCUUCGGGUUGUGAACCUCUUUCGCCGGUGAAGAAGGUCCUGCUCUUUGUGGUGGGGUUGACGGUAGCCGGGUUAUGAAGCGCCGGCUAACUACGUG
rnacentral:rRNA from 1 species